rnacentral:rRNA from 1 species
UAGGGAAUCUUCCGCAAUGGGCGAAAGCUUGACGGAGCAACGCCGCGUGAGUGAUGAAGGUCUUCGGAUCGUAAAACUCUUUUUUUAGGGAAGAACAAAUGUGUAAGUAACUAUGCACGUCUUGACGGUACCUAUUCAGAAAGCCACGGCUCACUACGUGCCAGCAGCCGCGGUAAUACGUAGGUGGCAAGCGUUAUCCGGAAUUAUUGGGCGUAAAGCGCGCGUAGGCGGUUUUUUAAGUCUGAUGUGAAAGCCCACGGCUCAACCGUGGAGGUGCAUUUGAAACUGGUAAACUUGAGUGCAGAAGAGGAAAGUGGAAUUCCAUGUGUAGCGGUGAAAUGCGCAGAGAUAUGGAGGAACACCAGUGGCGAAGGCGACUUUCUGGUCUGUAACUGACGCUGAUGUGCGAAAGCGUGGGGAUCAAACAGG